rnacentral:rRNA from 1 species
CAAUAGCGUAUAUUAAAGUUGUUGCAGUUAAAAAGCUCGUAGUUGGAUUUCUGUGAGAGUGCCGGUGUCGGCUGAUGCUUGUACGCAGGCGCUCUUACAUCCUUCUGUUAACUGUUCUUGGCAUUUUAUUGCUGGUUCAGGGCUCAGAUAUUUUACCUUGAGAAAAUUAGAGUGUUUCAGGCAGGCUUAUGCCGGAAUACAUUAGCAUGGAAUAAUGGAACAGGACCUGUGCGUCUCUCGGGGCGCCGGUCUCCGUUGUUGGUUUCGGGGACUAAUGUAAUGAUUAAUAGGGAUAGUUGGGGGCAUUAGUAUUUAAUAGUCAGAGGUGAAAUUCUCGGAUUUGUUAAAGACUAACUUAUGCGAAAGCAUUUGCCAAGGAUGUUUNCAUUAA